CAGACACCAUAACCCAACCAUGGACCUUUGAACACUUAGAGCCCAGAGACCUUCUCCUGAACUCAGAUGUGGAGCCUUUUCAUCAGAAGCCUCGGAACCAGUCCCUUCCCAGUUCAGCGCAGGGAUUUGCGAGGAGGCUAUCAGGCUGGACAAAAUGAAGCCGGGAGGCUUCUGGCCACACCUUGCCCUGCUCGGGGUUUCCCUGCCAGCUGUGCCAGCUGUGGACCAAGGAGCCUGCAGAAGCCCAAAUGUGGUUCUGGGAGAGUCAACAUAGGCAGAGGUUGUCUUGGUCAUGAUGUCUUCACCCCAAUAAGAAAGUAACAAAGGCAAUUACGUAAAUUGAGAUGGGAAGGCCUGCCUAUGGUGGUAGCACCAUCCCCUGCAUUUGGUCCCUAGACCGUGUAUGAGUGAAGAGAGCCAAUCGCUAGUACCCGUGCAUGCGUUAAUUCUCUCUCUGCUCAUGAAUGUAGCGAGCUUCCUCAAGUUCCUGUCACCUUGACUUCCCCUCAGUGAUGGACUGUAGCCUUGGA